GGCAGGUCCUUCGCCUUCGAAACACGACACAUCCUAUUGCCCUUCCGUUCCCCUAUCGCUCGUCGACGGUGGCGGCUUCCCAGAUCCGGUGCUUCCCCGGUGGACGACGACUACUCCCGUGGCACCUGCUCUAUGCCUCCCUCCUCACACUCCAGCAUCCAGGCAACCUGGUGGUUCUCGAGCGCGCGGUGAUGCUUCCACGGUCUACUCCUCCCCGGUGCUCCUAGAUCCAACAAUAGCUCACCGGAGGCAAGCUGAUGGGGCUGCAUCUACUCGCCUCCUUCGCCUCACAAGCUCAACAUGAAGGAAAUGAAGAUUGAUGAGCUAGAAGGACUAUAAUUGGAUGCAAAGGGAACUGACUUUUCUUUCAUGUGCUAUCAAGAUAACAAACCUGAUGCAAGCUUUGGUAGCGAUGCAUAUUCAGCGGGGAUCACUUUAGUACUUCAUACUUGGGGCUUGCUGUUCAUGUACUAGAAAAUUAUCAUGUCAUGUUAUGUGCCAAGUUAUAUAUGUAUGUCUCUUGUGUACUCAAAUUAGGAUGGAUGACAUGCACUGAAAUUAGGAUGGAUCACUUCAGUCCUUCAUACUCGGCUUGCUGGUUUUCUGUAUGGCUGGGCAACAACAAUCUGCACUGCUUACAAAUUGUGCUGCUGCAGUAUAUGGAAGCAUCAAUCACCUGAAAUCUGGAGCAUUUUUAACAUGAAGUUCUCCGAAAAGACUUGUAUUCAGAAUGCAGAUUUGUGUCACGGACCUAUGAUGUACUUUGUGUCGUAAUUAUUUUAAACUCCACAAAACAGUUCUUGAUGACAA